CCGCGAAUCAGGAUUUGAGGUUUGCCAGAUAUGUAUGGAUGUCUCUGGAAGAAGAGGUGGGGUCCCUAUCCCACCACCAGAGUCGUCUGAAGAUGAGUACUGCCUGCCUGCUGUGUGUGACACAGCACAUCACCGGCCAACGUUGUUGUUGGGGUUGUCAUAGACAGCUCCACUUCUCUCUCGAGCAGGAAAACAGUGAAAGCUCCGUCAUGGGCUGCUGACAGCGGCGACAUGGUCCGGUAGUUUUCGUUUUGAAUGCGCGGGAAGAAGUUUUUGUACGGAAGAAGAGGCAUCUUUGAGAUACGGUGAUAUUCUGGUUGUUGGACGCUUUGGCGGCCAAUGACGAAUAAUACAGGUUUCAAAGUUGUCCUUCUUACUGGUGCAUGCAACGAGUGUGAGGCGAUGGCGUUGCAGUCGCGAUAGUACUAGUCGUUUCCCCCUUAUUAUAAGACCUGAAAUCAGGCGAGAUGACCCGCUGAACUUAAGCAUAUUAUUAAGCGGUGGAGAAGAAAAUAACAAUGAUUCCCCUAGUAACUGCGAGUGAAGAGGGAAGAGCUCAAAGUGGAAAUCGGAGAUUCUUGACUGGAUUUCCGAGUUGUAGCCUCGAGAGGCGUGACCAGUGGAGGCAUAGGGAGAAGUUUCUUGGAAAAGAACAUCAGAGAGGGUGAGAGUCCCGUAUUUGCCCUGUGCCUGUUUGUUCCACGGACGGUACGCCUUUAUAGAGUCGCGUUCAUCGGGAUUUGAGCGCAAAAUGUGUGGUAAGUUUCACAUAAAGCUAAAUAUUGGCGCGAGACCGAUAGCAAACAAGUACCGUGAGGGAAAGAUGAAAAGUUCUUUGGAAAGAGAGUUAAAAGUACCUGAAAUUGCUGAAAAGGAAGCGAUUGGAACCUUUAGGAAUCCGGUACGUGAAUCUCUUGUGGUGUCGAGCUCCAUGUUCUCUUUUUCACUCUUCUUUCUUAGAAGGGGGGAGGAUGUGGCGAGGGCAAUAGAUACUGUAGAUGAGGAUCGUGCUGGAGAGGUCAGCAUCAGUUACAGACGAAGGAUCAUGGGUGCAAAAGGUAGGUUCCUCGUUUUCGGGCUGCUUUAUAGUUGCAUCAUUAUCAUCGUUCGUCGGUGACUGAGGUGUGGUGGAAGUUUGGUUUUCGGACUGGAUUUCCAUGAUGCUGGCUAAAACGGUUUCAACCGACCCGUCUUGAAACACGGACCAAGGAGUCUAACAUAUGUGCGAGUAUGCGGGUGGCAAACCUGUAUGCGUAAUG
rnacentral:rRNA from 1 species